UUUUCCUACGGGAGGCAGCAGUGAGGAAUAUUAGUCAAUGGGCGCGAGCCUGAACCAGUCAAGUAGCGUGAAGGAUGACUGCCCUACGGGUUGUAAACUUCUUUUAUAAAGGAAUAAAGUGAGGCACGUGUGCCUUUUUGUAUGUACUUUAUGAAUAAGGAUCGGCUAACUCCGUGCCAGCAGCCGCGGUAAUACGGAGGAUGCGAGCGUUAUCCGGAUUUAUUGGGUUUAAAGGGUGCGCAGGCGGCGAGUUAAGUCAGCGGUAAAAUUUCGGGGCUCAACCCCGACGAGCCGUUGAAACUGGC
rnacentral:rRNA from 1 species